AUUUGAUGAUGUGGGCAACUUGUACACAAUCUCUUGAAUCUCUCCCAAUACUCAUGUAAUGACUCUCUACUAAACUGCCUAAUGCUAUAGAUUUCUUUCCUUAUGUU